UCGCCAGACUCCUACGGGAGGCAGCAGUGGGGAAUAUUGCACAAUGGGCGAAAGCCUGAUGCAGCAACGCCGCGUGAAGGAAGGAGGCCUUCGGGUCGUAAACUUCUGUCCUUGGGGAAGAAGAACUGACGGUACCCAAGGAGGAAGCCCCGGCUAACUACGUGCCAGCAGCCGCGGUAAUACGUAGGGGGCGAGCGUUAUCCGGAUUCACUGGGUGUAAAGGGAGCGUAGACGGCCGUGCAAGCCAGGAGUGAAAGCCCGGGGCCCAACCCCGGGACUGCUCUUGGAACUGUGCGGCUGGAGUGCGGGAGGGGCAGGCGGAAUUCCUGGUGUAGCGGUGAAAUGCGUAGAUAUCAGGAGGAACACCGGCGGCGAAGGCGGCCUGCUGGACCGCGACUGACGUUGAGGCUCGAAAGCGUGGGGAGCGAACAGGAUUAGAUACCCUGGUAGG
rnacentral:rRNA from 1 species